rnacentral:rRNA from 1 species
AGAGUUUGAUCCUGGCUCAGGAUGAACGCUGGCGGCGUGCUUAACACAUGCAAGUCGAGCGAAGCACUUAAGUCUGAUUCUUCGGAUGAAGACUUUUGUGACUGAGCGGCGGACGGGUGAGUAACGCGUGGGUAACCUGCCUCAUACAGGGGGAUAACAGUUAGAAAUGACUGCUAAUACCGCAUAAGACCACGGUACCGCAUGGUACAGUGGUAAAAACUCCGGUGGUAUGAGAUGGACCCGCGUCUGAUUAGGUAGUUGGUGGGGUAAAGGCCUACCAAGGCGACGAUGCGUAGCCGACCUGAGAGGGUGACCGGCCACACUGGGACUGAGACACGGCCCAGACUCCUACGGGAGGCAGCAGUAGGGAAUUUUCGGCAAUGGGGGAAACCCUGACCGAGCAACGCCGCGUGAAGGAAGAAGUAAUUCGUUAUGUAAACUUCUGUCAUAGAGGAAGAACGGUGGAUAUAGGGAAUGAUAUCCAAGUGACGGUACUCUAUAAGAAAGCCACGGCUAACUACGUGCCAGCAGCCGCGGUAAUACGUAGGUGGCGAGCGUUAUCCGGAAUUAUUGGGCGUAAAGAGGGAGCAGGCGGCACUAAGGGUCUGUGGUGAAAGAUCGAAGCUUAACUUCGGUAAGCCAUGGAAACCGUAGAGCUAGAGUGUGUGAGAGGAUCGUGGAAUUCCAUGUGUAGCGGUGAAAUGCGUAGAUAUAUGGAGGAACACCAGUGGCGAAGGCGACGAUCUGGCGCAUAACUGACGCUCAGUCCCGAAAGCGUGGGGAGCAAAUAAAAAUAGAUACCCUGGUAGUCCACGCCGUAAACGA